CGGACGGGUGAGUAAUGUCUGGGAAACUGCCUGAUGGAGGGGGAUAACUACUGGAAACGGUAGCUAAUACCGCAUAACGUCGCAAGACCAGAGAGGGGGACCUUAGGGCCUCUUGCCAUCGGAUGUGCCCAGAUGGGAUUAGCUAGUAGGUGGGGUAACGGCUCACCUAGGCGACGAUCCCUAGCUGGUCUGAGAGGAUGACCAGCCACACUGGAACUGAGACACGGUCCAG
rnacentral:rRNA from 1 species